rnacentral:rRNA from 1 species
GGCCAAAGAAGUCGGNGCNUAUACAUGCAGUCGAGCGAACAGACAAGGGAGCUUGUCUCCUGUUGAUCGUUAGCGAGACGGACGGAGUGAGAUAACACAUUGAGGCUAGACCUAUCUCUAUAAUGAGCUGUGAGAUAAUCGUUCGAGAGAGAACCUGGUAGCUUAACUACACGAGAUAACUAUCUUACGCAACCUGCGAUGGGUUGCGAUAGAUGAAAUGAUGGUGUUUGCGUAUCACAUUACUAGAUGCGACUCCGCGCCGUUAUUAGACUAGUUGGUAAGGUAACGGCUUACCAAGGCGACGAUACUUAGCCGACCUGAGAGGGUGAUCGGCCACACUGGAACUGAGACACGGUCCAGACUCCUACGGGAGGCAGCAGUAGGGAAUCUUCCGCAAUGGGCGAAAGCCUGACGGAGCAACGCCGCGUGAGUGAUGAAGGUCUUCCGAUCGUAAAACUCUGUUAUUAGGGAAGAACAUACGUGUAAGUAACUAUGCACGUCUUGACGGUACCUAAUCAGAAAGCCACGGCUAACUACGUGCCAGCAGCCGCGGNUAAUACGA